rnacentral:ncRNA from 2 species
UGAGGUAGUAGAUUGUAUUGUU